CCUACGGGAGGCAGCAGUAGGGAAUAUUGGGCAAUGGAGGCAACUCUGACCCAGCCAUGCCGCGUGCAGGAAGACGGUCCUCUGGAUUGUAAACUGCUUUUGAAUGGGAAGAAUGUGCUCCUUGCGAGGGGUAAUGACGGUACCAUUAGAAUAAGCCACGGCUAACUACGUGCCAGCAGCCGCGGUAAUACGUAGGUGGCGAGCGUUAUCCGGAUUUAUUGGGUUUAAAGGGUGCGUAGGCGGCUUAAUAAGUCGGUGGUUAAAAGUAGCAGCUUAACUGUUUUACAUGCCAUCGAUACUGUUGAGCUUGAGAUAUUUGGAGGCAGCUAGAAUUUCCGGUGUAGCGGUGAAAUGCAUAGAUACCGGAAGGAAUACCAAUUGCGAAGGCAGGUUGCUACGAAUAAACUGACGCUGAUGCACGAAAGCGUGGGGAUCAAACAGGAUUAGAUACCCUGGUAGUCCACGCCGUAAACGAUGAUUACUAGUUGUUAGGGUUUAACGCCUCUAGUGUACCGAACGGAAACCGGAACGUAAGUAAGUACCUACCGUACGGUAGGUACGACCGGACGACGGUACGAACGUACGAAGUAGAAGUUAGACGGCGUGAGACGUAGCCGACGACGACGACGACGGGAGGUUAGG
rnacentral:rRNA from 1 species